rnacentral:rRNA from 1 species
UACGUAGGGUGCAAGCGUUAAUCGGAAUUACUGGGCGUAAAGCGUGCGCAGGCGGCUUUGCAAGACAGAUGUGAAAUCCCCGGGCUUAACCUGGGAACUGCAUUUGUGACUGCAUCGCUGGAGUGCGGCAGAGGGGGAUGGAAUUCCGCGUGUAGCAGUGAAAUGCGUAGAUAUGACGGAGGAACACCGAUGGCGAAGGCAAUCCCCUGGGCCUGCACUGACGCUCAUGCACGAAAGCGUGGGGAGCAAACAGG